rnacentral:rRNA from 1 species
UGUUACGGCUAUGCCACCCUGAACGUGCCUGAUCUCGUCUGAUCUCAGAAGCUAAGUAAGGUCGAGCCUGGCUAGUACUUGAAUAGAAGAUUAUCUAGGAAGACCAGGUGGUGUAGGUG